rnacentral:rRNA from 1 species
GUGAGGAAUAUUGGACAAUGGGCGCAAGCCUGAUCCAGCCAUGCCGCGUGCAGGAUGACGGUCCUAUGGAUUGUAAACUGCUUUUAUACGAGAAGAAACAACUCUACGUGUAGAGUCUUGACGGUAUCGUAAGAAUAAGGAUCGGCUAACUCCGUGCCAGCAGCCGCGGUAAUACGGAGGAUCCAAGCGUUAUCCGGAAUCAUUGGGUUUAAAGGGUCCGUAGGCGGUCAGAUAAGUCAGUGGUGAAAGCCCAUCGCUCAACGGUGGAACGGCCAUUGAUACUGUCUGACUUGAAUUAUUAGGAAGUAACUAGAAUAUGUAGUGUAGCGGUGAAAUGCUUAGAGAUUACAUGGAAUACCAAUUGCGAAGGCAGGUUACUACUAAUUGAUUGACGCUGAUGGACGAAAGCGUGGGUAGCGAACAGGAUUAGAUACCCUAGUAGUCC